AACGCGAAGAACCUUACCAACCUUUGACAUGUCCAGUAUGGGGCUAGGAGACUAGCCCCUUCAGUUCGGCUGGCUGGAACACAGGUGCUGCAUGGCUGUCGUCAGCUCGUGUCGUGAGAUGUUGGGUUAAGUCCCGCAACGAGCGCAACCCUCAUCUUCAGUUGCCACCGGGUAAGGCCGGGCACUCUGGAGAAACCGCCGGUGAUAAGCCGGAGGAAGGCGGGGAUGACGUCAAGUCCUCAUGGCCCUUACAGGUUGGGCUACACACGUACUACAAUGGUGGUGACAGUGGGUUGCGAAGCCGCGAGGUGGAGCCAAUCCCCAAAAGCCAUCUCAGUUCAGAUUGUACCCUGCAACUCGGGUGCAUGAAGUUGGAAUCGCUAGUAAUCGCAGAUCAGCACGCUGCGGUGAAUACGUUCCCGGGCCUUGUACACACCGCUAGUC
rnacentral:rRNA from 1 species